rnacentral:ncRNA from 20 species
GGGUGUCGCCGCAUUCACGCGGUAGGACAGGUUGAACUGAGCGCAGGUCGGGCCGCCGCG